AUAGAAAAUGUUAAUGGACUCCCGCUAUAUAUUUAUACCUCUCUUUCUCUCUCUACCAUACUCUUCAACUCUUCUCUUUCAUUCAUGGAAUCUCCCUCUCGCUCCUUCGUCAUUAUCGUCGGUGCUGGUGUAUCCGGUAUCUCUGCGGCAAAGCUGUUGGCCGAGAAUGGCGUAAAGGAUCUUGUAAUCCUGGAGGCUUCAAACUGUAUUGGCGGUAGGAUUCGGAAGGAAAACUUCGGCGGUGUGUCCGUCGAACUCGGAGCUGGUUGGUGUCGGAGUUGGCGGCAAAGAGUCCAAUCCAAUUUGGGAACUCGUCGCUGAAUAUGGCCUUCGAACAUGCUUCUCUGACUACACGAAUGUGCCAUACAAUAUAUAUGAUCGCAGUGGAAAGAUAUUUUCGAGUGGAAUCGCUGCGGACUCGUACAAAAAAGCUGUGGACUCGGCAAUUCGAAACUUAACGAACCAGGAAGAAGCCGAUCGCGAAGGCAAUAGCUCCAAAACAACUGAACCACCUUCGUCGCCAUUAGAGCUAGCAAUUGAUUUCAUCCUCCAUGAUUUUGAAAUGGCAGAGGCAGUACCGAUAUCUACCUUUACAGCGUUUGGCGAAAGGGAAUUUUUGGUUGCGGAUGAAAGAGGUUUUGAUUAUUUGGUAUAUAAAAUGGCUGAAGAUUUUUUGUUGACAUCUGAGGGUAAAAUACUGGACACUCGUCUCAAACUCAACCAUGUGGUCCGGGAAAUAGAGCAUCGGGGAAGUGGCGUUAGGGUGAUAACAGAGGAUGAUUGCAUUUAUGAAGCAAAUUACGUACUUGUGUCCGUUAGCAUUGGGGUUCUCCAAAGCAACCUUGUUGCCUUCCAUCCACCCUUACCCAGAUGGAAAUUAGAAGCCAUAGAGAAAUGUGAUGUAACCGUGUACACCAAAAUUUUCCUGAAGUUUCCAUAUCAGUUCUGGCCAAGUGGACCCGGAAAUGAAUUCUUCAUAUAUGCUCACGAUCAAAGAGGCUACUACACAUUUUGGCAGCAAAUGGAGAAUGCAUACCCUGGCUCUGAUAUCUUGGUGGUGACAUUGACAAAUGGUGAAUCAAAACGUGUGGAAGCUCAAUCGGAUGAAGACACCUUGAGAGAAGCUAUGGAGGUGCUCAAGGAUAUGUUUGGACCCAACAUACCUGAUGCCACUGAUAUACUUGUUCCCAGAUGGUGGAAUAACAGGUUCCAACGUGGCAGCUACAGCAACUAUCCCGUUAUCUCUAAUCUCCAAGUAGUUCGUGAUGUUAAGGCUCCAGUAGGUCGCAUUUUCUUUACUGGAGAACACACGAGUGAAAGAUUUAGUGGCUAUGUGCAUGGUGCAUACCUCGCAGGUAUCAAUUCUAGCAAAGAACUACUUGAAGAAAUGAGAAAGGACAACAAAAGAAAAAACAAGAGCCAAAGUCGAGUAUUAGAGCCCUUGUCAGCAUUAACCGAAUGCAAUAUUCCUAGACAAUAAAAUCUCAGGGGCAAGCUUAGAAUGGCACUACACAAUCAUCCAACAGCAAACCGAAAUAAUCCCCACAUCUUUGUCCUACAACUGUAUUCACUAUUCAUCACCUCUGUUUCAUCAGCAAUAAUAGUAAAAGAAAAAUAAUCAAGAAAACAAAGGUAACAAGCAAACUACAGACCAAAACGAAAGCCAAGGACUUGAGUUACUCGUGUCCUAAUUACUAAUAAAUUUCUGGUAUAAACUCUUGUUUAUAUUGUUUAGCAGAUAAUAGGCAGUUGCAGCUAAAA